UGGGGAAUAUUGGACAAUGGGGGCAACCCUGAUCCAGCGACGCCGCGUGGGUGAAGAAGGCCUGCGGGUUGUAAAGCCCUUUCGGUGGGGAAGAAAAGCUUCGACCUAAUACGUUGAGGCCCUGACGUAACCCACUAAAGAAGCACCGGCUAACUCUGUGCCAGCAGCCGCGGUAAUACAGAGGGUGCGAGCGUUAAUCGGAAUUACUGGGCGUAAAGCGCGCGUAGGCGGCUUUGCAAGUCGAGUGUGAAAUCCCCAGGCCUAACCUGGGAACUGCAUUCGAGACUGCAUGGCUAGAGUAUCGGAGAGGGAAGUGGAAUUUCAGGUGUAGCGGUGAAAUGCGUAGAUAUCUGAAGGAACAUCAGUGGCGAAAGCGACUUCCUGGACGAAUACUGACGCUCAUGUGCGAAAGCGUGGGGAGCAAACAG
rnacentral:rRNA from 1 species